CCUCACUUCCCGGAGCCUAGGUGUGGGGGACAUUCCACGUUUUCCGCGCCGUAGCUAACGCAUUAAGUGCCCCGCCUGGGGAGUACGGCCGCAAGGCUAAAACUCAAAGGAAUUGACGGGGGCCCGCACAAGCGGCGGAGCAUGCGGAUUAAUUCGAUGCAACGCGAAGAACCUUACCAAGGCUUGACAUGAACCGGAAAGACCUGGAAACAGGUGCCCCGCUUGCGGUCGGUUUACAGGUGGUGCAUGGUUGUCGUCAGCUCGUGUCGUGAGAUGUUGGGUUAAGUCCCGCAACGAGCGCAACCCUCGUUCUAUGUUGCCAGCGCGUGAUGGCGGGGACUCAUAGGAGACUGCCGGGGUCAACUCGGAGGAAGGUGGGGACGACGUCAAAUCAUCAUGCCCCUUAUGUCUUGGGCUUCACGCAUGCUACAAUGGCCGGUACAAAGGGUUGCGAUACUGUGAGGUGGAGCUAAUCCCAAAAAGCCGGUCUCAGUUCGGAUUGGGGUCUGCAACUCGACCCCAUGAAGUCGGAGUCGCUAGUAAUCGCAGAUCAGCAACGCUGCGGUGAAUACGUUCCCGGGCCUUGUACACACCGCCCGUCAAGUCACGAAAGUUGGUAACACCCGAAGCCGGUGGCCUAACCCUUGUGGGGGGAGCCGUCGAAGGUGGGACCGGCGAUUGGGACUAAGUCGUAACAAGGUAGCCGUACCGGAAGGUGCG
rnacentral:rRNA from 1 species